UAAUAGGCCAACAACUUACACCACACACAAAACACUGCACGCGUCCACUAUGUGGUUCCCGAACAACAACCGUUCCAGGAACCAACAACAACAACAACAACUACAUAACACCACAGUUGUAACCACAAAGCUUCCCACCCACCCCCACACCAAGGCGGGGUCGGGACGGGUAACAGAGUUACGGCGGUCAUAGCGUGGGGGAAACGCCCGGUCCCAUUCCGAACCCGGAAGCUAAGACCCACAGCGCCGAUGGUACUGCACCCGGGAGGGUGUGGGAGAGUAGGACACCGCCGGAC
rnacentral:rRNA from 1 species